GGAGAGAUGCCGGAGCGGCUGAACGGGACGGUCUCGAAAACCGUUGAAGGAGCGAUCCUUCCCAGGGUUCAAAUCCCUGUCUCUCCGCCA
rnacentral:tRNA from 1 species